CACAAGAAAAGAAAACAUAAAAAGUAUGAUGGCUUAUCAUAAUAAAAUUAUGUUAUUCCAAAGUGUUAACAUCUUGCAAACAUAUUAUUCCAAGUCAAGAUGCAAAGGCAUACAAAAUGUAUGGCCAAUUCUUAUGCCUGAUGCAAUUAUAAAGUUUGAAAAAUAUCUCUAUAGACUCUAUUUUCAACUUUCAUUUUUCCAUUGACCUAAUAUUGCAAAAUAUAUAUUACUACAUAGAAUUCUACUAUGUUAUUUCUUCUAACUUCUUAAAUAUAUUUUAUUUAUUUUUUACUAAUUCUUUUUAUCCAAACAAAUUUUAAAAAAACAUUGUUUUCUUAAACCCCUCUAACUCAAAUGAAAUAAUUCCCUCUCUCUCUCCCCCGAUCACCCUCCCAAACCCCCCUCUCUCUAGCUGCCACCACCAGCACCUCCUCCAGAACCUUCUCCAGAGUCACCGCCAAGCCCUCUGCCACCACCACCCCGCCAAGCCCUCCCCCACCAUCACGCUAUAAAAUCUGGUCUUUUCCCGAAUCAUGGGCUUUCGUUUCAGUGACUCCAUCCUUAUUUGUUUGAGUGAAGGAGAAUAGAAGAUUCGAAGCUUUGAAGGUGGAGAAAUGAUAAAAUGGUCAGCAUUUGAUGCAUUUAGGGGAAUCGCCUGGAGGAGUGAGUUGCCGGAGGAUUAACUGCGUUGUUUCCGUGACCGUUCUGCAACAUAAUAGUGGAAAGGACUAAAGUUAAUGGAUCAGUGUUGAUUAAUUCAAUAUGGCGUAGAGCCCUUGAAGGCCUUGUUUUAUUCCGGUUAAGUUAACGGAAAGGCGUUUUCAGGACUUUAUAUCCAUUUCCCGGAAGCUUCUAGCCUAAUUCAUGUCUUAAAAAGUCAAAACGGGGGCAAGUAAAUUUUGGGCACCAUAAUGCCGUUAACUCUGCAACUUCCGUCAGAGAUGUGGAUCAAAUCCCAAGCUAAAGUAAUGUAUGGAGCCUCUUUAUGCCAAACCAUGUUGCAUGGUCCUUCCCUCUCAUGGGCCACUGCAAACUCAACGUUGAUGGUUCUUCCCUUCGGAAUCCUGGUGCAACUGGCUAUAGGGGAAUCAUCAGAAAUGACACAAGUGCUUUUGUGACGGUCUUUGCAGUCCCCUUUGGUUCACCUCCAACAAUGUCGUUGCGUUUUAUGCUCUAAAUAGAGGCAUCUCUCUAACAAAGGAGCUAGGCUGCAGACCUUUGAUAAUUGAGAGUGACUCCAAAUUGUGACUCAGUGUAGUAAACCCCUAUGGAAGCUGGUGACACUUUUGUCCAAAUGCACGACUAGACUCUCGUCCUUUGCAUACCAACAGUGUCAAACGUCUCAUGUUCGUAGGGAGGCGAAAACAGCUGCUAAUUGCUUGGCAAAAGAGGGCAACCGUAUGACGGGCUCGCCCCCUAGAUGUUACACACCCUUUCAUCUUGCAUUAUAUUUCUAGCGUACCUUUAGAAAGGGAUGUUUGAUGGUUGUACUUGUAAUAUUAAGUUGUAUAGGCCUCCUGUCUAAAUGGACUAGACUUACCCUUGUUUUUGAGAAUGGGUAGAGCCUUGGCAGUAGUAUAAAGCUGAAGUCUCUUGCUCUAUUCUCACCAAAAGGGUAAGGCCGAAAUCCCCCCUCACUUACGCUUCU